rnacentral:lncRNA from 1 species
GAAAAUCAGUGAAGCUCCAGCAAUGACAGCCUGACAGGAUUCCCUGGGCUUGAGCUUCUGUUCUGAGACAGGAGCCUAGCAUAAACUGCCCUCUGAGAGGCUCUACCCAGCAGCUGACUGAAACAGAUGCAGAUACCCACCACCAAGCAUUGGAUGGAGGUCAGGACUCAUAUGGAAGAGCUGGGGCAAGAAUUGUACUCCACAGGAAGACCAACAGAGUCAACUAACCUAGACUUCUGGGAGCUCUCAGAGACUGAGUCACCAACAAAAGAGUAUAUGCAGGCUGGAAUGAAGCCCUCUCCCCCCCCCCAGUACAUAUGUAACUCAGUCUACAUCUGGGUCCCCUAAUAGCUGGAGUGGGGGCUGUCCCUAAGUUGUAGGCUGACUGUGGAAUCUGAUUCCCAACACUGUUGCCUUCUCUGGACUCAGUGUGAGAGGAUGCAUCUAAUUUGAAGAGACUUGAUCAGUCUUGCAGUAGUAUACCCAAGGGGUCCCGAUCCAGAGUAGAAGGGGACCUGGGUAUGGGACUCUGAUGGUUGGGGAAAACAGGAUGGGGGACAGCAUUUGGCAUGUAAAUAUAUAAAUAAGAAACUGCCAUUAGGUCUGGUCUUAUGGAGGUGGUUUCUUAAUCUAAGUUCCCUCCUCUUGAUGAUUCUUGUUUGUGUCAAGUUGACAUAAAGUUAGGGAGUACAGUAGGCAAUUGUAGAAUUGACAAAAAUUAUAUAUUUAUGCUUCCUAUGACAGAAUAGUAGCAUCAUGGUCAUAAAAU